rnacentral:lncRNA from 1 species
AGUCCAGCCGCAGGGGCCACCCGAACAGUCUCUCCUCCUCACAGAAGCCUGGAGCUGGGCAUCCAAGAAGAAGCAGCCUCAUUUGUUUUCUGGUGUCAUCGUAGGUGGCCACCUAUGGCUUUUGGGCUUCUCACCUGGGGCGGGUGGGUUCUGCACCACCCUCCCACCCUCCUUCCUCCGUGUGGACGAUAGAGCCACAUCCAGCACCACGGACAGCUCCCGGGCGCACUGGAAGCUGAGGGUUUUGACAGCGGCAGGCCACAUAGGCAAGGAAGCUGGUGCAUGCAGUGUCUCUGGGCAAGGUUAUGCAACCUUCAUCUCCUCGUCCUCCAGGCAGCACAAGCCAUUGUGGAAUCUCCACCAGGUGUACAGAACGGUGCCUCUGCGUCCUGCCACUCAGGACCUCUCAAGUCCCCGAUGUGAUGGCUCCUCAGCAUGAUCAGGAGAAAUUCCAUGAUCUUGCUUAUUCCUGUCUUGGGAAGUCCUUCUCCAUGUCUAACCAAGAUCUAUAUGGCUAUAGCACCAGCUCUUUGGCUCUUGGCUUGGCAUGGCUAAGUUGGGAGACCAAAAAGAAGAAUGUACUUCAUCUGGUUGGGCUGGAUUCCCUCUGAUAAGCCUUCCCAGUUGACUGAAAGAUGAGGCUAGGCUCUAGCAAGUUGAAGUCAAACCAGCUCCUUCAAGAAGCUUUGAGCAGAAUGAAGUGGGGAGGACCCAGCUUCCAGCCCAGGAAGCCCACUGUACCUGGAGCCAUCUGGGAUAAGACUUUGACCCAUGACUCCCAUAUCCACAGCCUGUCCAUCCUAGCCCAUCCCAGUUUAUCCUGUAUCAUUUGAGCUGGGAUUCCCACAUCCUCUGAGUUGGAAGUCCCAUCUCAAGUCUUCAAUAAAGACUCUUGAAUAUUGAAUCACA